rnacentral:lncRNA from 1 species
UACACAUUUAUACUGUGUGAUAAUAUCUAUACAUGUAUACAGUGUGUACUAUUUCAAACCUAAUGCAUAGUACUGUUAAUACAUAUAAAGUUGUUAAUUUUAUGUCUUACAUAAACUAUAUAUGAAGUAAUUUGACGAAAAUUGGAUCUAAUAUGCCUUUCAAUAAAACUGAAUAACCAUUCAAAAGCUCUGCAUACUGUACCAGAAAUUUACCAAAACAUUGUCAAGUAUGAAUACUAAAACAAUAAGGAACUUGGCAAAAUAUGUACACUAUGCUAUGUCAAAAAGGCAGGAAAAGCUAAACAUCAUACCUGCUUCUUAGUUAGUUAAUUAGUAUUUUUUGUAUUGGUAGAUUGUAUAUUGUGCAUGUAUUGCUGAAGUAAAUGUUGGCCAUCUGUAUUGUAUUUAAACUGUUUAAUGGCCAAAUGUAUUGUAUUUAUGCCGAUUUGCCAAUAAACUUUGGUAUUGCUGUUAUCAAUCUUUUCAGGGUAGGUAUGAUUUUUUUCUCAAUUCGUAUUAUACAACAUCAAAACAAUCUUUAAAUGUGUGAUGACUGAACCUUUUUUUAUUUUAUUUUUUUAGAAUAUCUUGAUUACUUUUACUGCGGUAAAAUAAUUUUAAUAAUAAUGUCUCGAUUGUAAACUUCAGCCAGAAAGGUUUCAGAAUUACAAUAGUUGCUUUAUUUGUUGUUGAACGGUUUGAAAAUAUUAAGAUUUCCUUUGUUAGCACAAGUUAGCUUAAAAUCAGCAUUCCUCUGCAAUAUAACGUCGUAGAUUUUCAAUGUCUCAUGGGAUAAAAAAUCACAUAGGGAAAAAGCACGAUUGACAUCGUCAAAUUCAGUCAGUUCAUACUCCUAGUACCACCACUGAGGGCUUUUAUAAAUAUAUAUAACUAUAUGUAUUUUAUAAUUAUACAUACUAUAUAUAUAUAUAGUAUUUAUAACAUAUAUCUGUAUAUCUGGAUCUUGUGAUACAAAAUUCACGCAAAAUCCUGUUGCCGUUUUGGUUUAGUUUAAACAGUAAUACAUGUACAAAUUAAAUACAUCCAUCAUACUCUGCCGUUUGGAGGUUGAUAAGCAGAAUUUUGAUAUACACAUUAGCAAUUAAUUGUCGUUUGGGGACAUUUCAUGGAACUGAUCUCUAAAUCUUGAUAUUUUUGUUUAUUUUUAAUAUGACAAUUCAUUGCCUUAAUAAAUGGCCUAAAACAAUAUUUUUUUAUUCAAAAUUAUAUAUGUACUUUUACAGACAAACGAACAUACAGAGAAAUACAGUAAUCAGUGGAUUUACUAGUUAUAAUAGAAUACUUUAAGAUUGAAUGCAGGUCGAUUUCUGCAACUCUUUCAUAUUUUGUCGUGUGUUUUAAACUUGUCGCCGUGAAAGAUUUCCAGAAAAACCAGUACGUGUCUUUCUAAUUCUGAUAUCAAUAUUUUAGAGCAUUCUAGAUUUAUUAGAUAUUGACAGAAAUAGUUCAAUUGCAGAAAGUCAACACGUUUGACACCCUGAAUAACAUAGAAAACAACUUACUCUAUUAUUCUUUCAGCUACAUUUGAUAAGAACUCUUGCAUUACCCUAUUAAACACAUAAAAACAUAGAAAUAUUUUUGUACAGUGAAAAAUAUAGAAAUAUGGUGUGAUCUAUUCAUCAAAAUAGUGUUCCCUUGCUAGACUGUAUUUAGUUUUAAAUGUUUCCACUUUUUGGCCCAGUUUUAUAGAACAGAACAGAACAUAAAGGAGAGUCCUUUGAUCUGUUCUUUACCGAUCUGAUUGUGGAGGAUGUCCGCUUUUUACCGUUCUUUUUUUUCUUUCUUUUUUUUUCUUUUUUUUACAUUUUAGCGCAUUUUGUGCACAUUCCAAAUUUUGUGCGAGGUUUUUUUGACACUUUCAAAUGUUUACGACAUAAAUAAUGCAUGUAUCCUAUUUGUAUAACACGUCUACUUGUUGUGAAUAUUUGUGUAUAAUUUCUUAUAGUUUUUGAAUAAUGACACUGUGCAUGUUUUAAUGCGUUUUUUUUUUAAAUUUCAUGUUUCUUGUUUUCACGUUGACGGAACGGAAAUAAAUGAUUUGAUUUAAACAUAUAAUGUGAUGUAUCAUUUCUAACUAUAUAUAUUGUUUAUUUUGUUCUACAUCAUCUGUCAAAGCAUUUUAUUGGUAUUCGUACAAUACAAUUAAUACUUUUAAUAUCUAAAUUUGUUCUUUGAUUGAUAUAUAUCUAAAGCUUUCAUAAGACAGGAUGCUGUAAAAACAUUCGGAAUAUAUAACUGACAUAUGAUAUUAAAAUACAGUUUUUCAAGUUUAUUAUAUUAAAAUAUAUAACCCUUUUAGACAUGGGUUAAACGACUAAUUUCUUAUAAAAUCCGUACAUAAUACAUCUCUUCAUUCAAACUUAUGCAGUUAUUGUAGACCUGGUACUUCAGAAAGUUAUCAAUCUUUAUCAAUGACCUGCAAUUAUUCAUUAAACCACCACAAAAUUACAACCAAUAACGCUGAAAAUUAAAGGUAAAAUGAACGAAAGUCACUGGUUACCCUUACAUCUACAGAAGCACCUUUAAAAAAAAUCUCGUCAACUUCUGCUUUAAUAUUAUUUAUCUUAUUACCUUCAAAAUAUUUACAAAUACAACAAACUACUUUAAUUUUGCAGCUCCAUUUAAUUAUUAUCCAUUCAUUUAUUUCAAUUUUUAAACAGCUUAGUGUAAUCUUCCAUUUUUUUCAAGUUUCGACUUCACCUAAAAGUUUAUUAAAAUUUUCAAGAAUAAGAGACGCCAUCUUGUAUGACGUUUCAAGAUGGCGACAAGGCCUGUGAAAGGUUACAGCUUUAGACAUUUUGAAUUUGGAAUCUACCGUGUGACAUUGUUAGAAUGACUGAACGUCUGAAGUUGAUUUGGAAGCAGAGCACGUGUGGACUCCAUGUGUCGCAAAAACGUUGGACGCACACAGAGAGGGCCAAGAUGUUGUGCUCCAGCAAAGCGAAACAUUGAAGUUGAAAACAAGGCUGGCUCAGAAGUAACUGGAUAUCAUGUGAAUACUUUCAAAAAUGGUCGUCUGCAUGCUGAGGUGUAAAUUUUCCUGGCUGUCUUCUUCCCAGAAUGUUUCCAAAGGUAUUGGCGAGACAGACACGUUAUUAUCCAGCGCUAACUGAUGUCCAGACACGAGAAAAUAACCCCCGAGUGAUCGAAAAAGUAUUGAGAACUUGGAACUGGCAGCUUGUGACGGCCAACACUGAAAAAUAAUUACAAAGGCUGUUUGAGAAGGCCUCUUGAGGAGAAGUUGUAUAAAGUAGUGGUGGAGAAGUUGUAAAGUACUGGUGGAGAAAUUGUACAAAGUACUGGUGGAGAAUUAGUACCAAGUCCAUCAGUCUGCUGGUCUUAAAAUUCGAGCCUUGGAAAAUGUUGAGGUAUAAAGAUCUGUAACUAGGAGACAAUGUCCAGUCAGUAGCAAUGGUUAUCAUCAGUAGCCAGCAGACCACUUCUAUUUGGGUAUUAGCAUGAAUUCAGUUUCCAGCAAAGGGAUGUCCAUUUUUCAAGAUGCAGUAGACAACUAUUUGUACAAACUGGUGGUUUUGGUUACCAAAAGGCUUCUUUAGCUUAACAGCAGACGACUUUUUGAUCACCGAGGAAUGAUGUAUUGGUUACUACUUUAUGACUGAGUUACUAAGUUACCAGCCAGAUCAGUAGACCUAAGUACUAAUUGAUGAGAAGGAGACUUGGUAAACAGGAAACAUUACACAACUGAGUAGAUAGUGCUUAUUUUUCUGUAAACAGUGCUUGGUAAAAAGCAUACGGCGCUCAGUUUCCACAGGCUGUGCUUGGUAAAUACAUACGUUACUCAAUUUGCAGCUGAUUGUGCUUGGUUAAAAUGAUAUGACUUGGUUUCAAUGUGAUUGCAUUUAACAGCACAGAAUGCACGGGUUUCCAGCAGAUUGUACUUGGUUAACAGCAUGUGUCACUCAGUUUCCAGCAGACAGCAUAUAUCACCCUGUAUCAGGCAGUCUAUGACUUGUAAAUUACGUACAAUGCUAGGUUUCCAGCAGUCUGUGUCUGGUAAAAGCAGAGGACAGCUUCAAGCAAACUGUUCCAGGUAAACAGCAUUCAGCAGGUGGUGUGUCCAGCAGUCUUUGUCUAGUAAACAGCAGAUGACAUUUGGUUUCCAGCAGUCUGUACAUGGUAAACUGCACUUGAAAUAUCAUGAUGGCUCAAAGCGCUGUUAUUAGUAGAAUUAGUAAAAUGUCACAUGACACACAGUAACGGCAGACAACACUGUACUACCGGCAGGCAGCAUCUAAUAAGCCAAGGACAUUACAUAGUUAUCAGGAGACAGUGAACUGCAAGCAGCACUUGGUAAACAGCAGGCAGCACUUGGUAACCAGCAGAUGACACAUGGUAUCCAGCAGAAGGCACUUUGUAACCAGCAGAUGGCAAUUAUUAUCCAGCAGAAGGCACUUUGUAACCAGCAGACGGCACUUGGUAAACGCAGAUGCACUUGUUAACCAGCAGACGGCACUAUCCAGCAGACGGCACUUGGUAAUCAGCAGAUGGCACUUGGUAACCAGCAGACGGCAUUUGGUAACCAGCAGACAGUCGUUUUCGAUACGAGAUUUCAAGAGGAGGGCUGUUGUUUUGAAUGAACCUGAUUGUACUGUGACAUGAUCAGCCUAUGACAGUAGUGAGAAGGUCACCUCGGCAAAUGACUAGAAAAGGAAUCAGAUGCCAGCGGUCCACUUAAUCCUUUGCAGUGUGCUGGAGUGAUCAAUGCACUAAUGCGCCUAAACAGCAAAAAGUGAUUGCGAUCAUGCACAUCUUGGAACUACAUCUGCGUGGCAAUACAGUGGUUAUGUGGAUGUGUAGAUAGAUGUGUUAGCAGAGCAAAGAAUACAUCAGUGGAGAUCUAUAUUCAAGACUUAAUAUACUGUCAACAUGUUGUUUAGCACUUCUAAUAGAAGGAUUUAUGCAGAAAGAGGGACUUGUAUAUAUACGGAAUUAAAUAAGAGAGGAUUGAAACUGUGCGAGAACAAAGGGAAAGAAAUGAAACAUGUUGGCAUCAAUAUUAACACCAAGUUUUAGAUUGCCAGACGAUGGCACCGUCACAUAAUUUAACAAGAGCUGUCUGUUGACAGCCUGCUCGAUUAUUAAAAGAAUUGAUGGAAGUAUGGGGUCUAAAUAUUACCAGAGAUUUUCACAAAAGAAAAAGAAUAGAUAAGACAAACAAUGUACCAGUAUAUUUGUGGAUUUGGAUAUGUCUUGCACUACAGUCAACAUUGUACUUGCGACCACCUCUAUUAAGCGGUUUUGUAUUAAACGACCGGUCAAAAUCCCUCCCGAACGUUUUCAGUAUAUAAAUUCAUUCCAUUAAACGACUUUUCUAUUAAA